GUCAUGCGGCCCUUCCAAUCCCCAGGGCAGCACAGUGCUGGGUGCAGUGGAGGCCGUGCACGUGUGCGGAUUCAGCGGUGCUAAUCCUUAUGCAGCACCAGGAAUUUAGGCGUGGCCCGAGAGGUUGCCGCAUAGCAUGGUGGGUGUUGUUCCUGAUACCGAUGGUCCCAUCUGCAGAGAGCUCAGUGAUAUGCAAUGGAAGCUGUGUGGUUGUCCCCACUUUCGAACUCAGGUCUUCCGCGGGCUCGCUGUCUUGUCCGUGUGUUCUCGUUCUGUUGCUGCUACUUUUCUACAUGAUAACCUGCUGCAUAUAGGCAGCUGCCCAGCUCUGAUGCGACACCAGUUAAUGAGGAAGCUCCAUUUGACUUAAAGAAUGCCAACAUUCAUUGUGACCAUCUACAAGGACAAGUCGCGGGAACUACCAAGGCACUGCCCUCCAUUUCCGGGAAGUUUUUUAUUGUCAUCCUUCUACUGAAUCGCUGGCUCCCCCUUUUCUGAAUAUGUCUUUCCAGAAUCCCAGUGCAGCUUUGGAGUAUCUCAGGGUACCACUGCCAUGAUCUUUGUUGCACGACAGAUCCAGAAGUGUAGAGCGCAACACCAGGAGCUGUUUAUUAGGGCUGUGCAAAGCUUCGGAUCAUGAUUCAAAUUUGGAGAUGAUUCGGAUGAUUUGGAGGCCGAGUCUAUGAAUCCAAAUCGAAUCGCGGGAAGCUUAAGGCUUUCCGAAUCGAUUUGGAAAAGAUUAGGAGAUUUGCCCAUAGGGUAUAAUGGAGAAUCAAUGAAAUAUCUGUAACUUUGUUGUCUUUUGGCUCAUUCAGAUGAAACUUGCAGGGAUGGUAGCCUCUGCUGAGAGGACGAUGCAUGCCAAGUUUCAAGGAGAUAGGUGCAGGGCGGUCCUGCACCCCUAGCUGCUGACAGGCAAAACUCGUGUCAUGUGCUUGUGCAAUAGUGUCUGUCUUGGGGUAUGGGGUGGGGGGAACUACUGCAGGCCUGGCUGCUAAGCUACUGUGUUACCAGUCAGUCAUGAUUCACUCAGGGACCAGCUCAAUACACAGUAGCUAGCUAGUAGCUACUAGAUAACAAGUUAAUGAGCAAGGAUUAACACCUAAAAAUCCACAGAGUAAGGAGAGGAAAGAAUCGAUACAGAGCCCAACUGCUUCUGCUCCAAGACAGACACAGUCAGUUGCACAAGCAUCCAUGUCACGAGUUUUGCCUGUCAGCAGCUACAGUUGCAGGACCCCAGAACCCAGAAGCCCCUGCACCGAUCUCCUUGACAGCUGGCAGGCUUUGUGGCCUGUGCAGGGGUAGCAGGCCUGCGGCUUUCACCCUGCUGCGCCUUAACACACACAGUGUCACCCAUGUCACGAGAGUGUCACCCAUGUCACAAGUUUUGCUCAUCCGCAGCUUGAGGUACAGUUUCCCCCAAACCACUGCAUGUAUCUCCUUGAAACUUGGAAGGUUUUAUGGCCUCAGCAGGGGCUACCAUCCCUGCAGUUUUCACCCCCCUGUGUUGUAACACAGACGUGACACGAGUCUUGCUUUCAAGAAUUUGGGAUGCAGUGUGCCCUGAGCCCCUGCACCAACGUCCUUGAAAGUUGGCGGGCUUCAUACUCUCAGCAGAGGCUACCACUCCUGCAAGUUUAAUCCAAAUCAGACAAAAAAACCAAAAGUUACAGAUAUUUCACUGAUUUCCCCAUUAUAAUCUAUGGCUGAAUCGCUGAAUCAGCUCCAAAGCUUCAGAGCCGAUUUGGCUGAAACAAAGUGGGAAACCUAUUCGGAGCUCUGAAUCGAAUCGCUGGCAUCCGAAUCGGCCAAAUCUGAACCCAAAUUGAAUAGUUCCCUAUUUGCACAGGCCUACCGUUUAUGGUAUUUGUUGACCUAACCAAGGCCUUUGCCUCCAUCAAUCGUGAAGCCUUAUGGAGGGUGUUGGCUAGGCUUGGUUGUCUACUCAAGUUCAUCAGUGUCCUCAGGCUACUCCGUGGUGAGGUUACCACCACGGUCCUUUGCAGUGAAUUUGAGACAGACCCAUUUUCCAUCUGAACUGGUGUCAAGCAGGGCUGCAUCAUCACCCCAACUCUUUUUAGGGGGUUUUUUGAUCCUCAUCCGCAACCUCCUUCCUCCUGGGAUUGGGGUUGAAUAUUGAAUGGAUGGUCAGCGUUUCAACCUGUGGCAGCUUCACAGCAAAACCAAAGUUACCAAGACUGGCAUUGCUGACCUUCAGUAUGCUGAUGGUUGUAUGCACACUGAGACCAAUUUGAAGUCCAUCUGUGACCUUUUCUCAGGUACCUAUCACAGCUUGGGACUCUCCCUUAAAGAUUAGGAAACAUCAACUCCUCUGGACUGACUGCUGUGUGUGGAUGGCUGGCAGUUGUCUCCCGAAGUAAGACCUCUUCUCUCAACCCAGUCAUAGUAACAUGACCCAUGGAGGACAGAGGAAACGCUACACGGACACCCUGAAACCAUACCUUAAGAAGGGCGGCAUGAACCCUACAAGCUGGGAAGUGCUGGCUGGUAACAGGUCUAAUGGUGCUACACCCUACAUCAAGCUACAGGCCAUGUCAAAGACAACGGUCUUGCUCAGGAAGCCGAGAGGGGGGAAAGCGCACGACAUCCUGGGCAACGGCUGUGCUCCCCCCCAGGGCACCUUGUGUCAGAUCUGUCUGAUAUAUUCCAUUUCUAUGAAGGUCUAGGUUUACUGAAGUGUAGGAAUAAGCUUAUUUUGGAAACCUCCCCUCCCAGAGCUAGGAAAGCAUCUGCCUCCAGCCUUCCCUCUGGGUGCAGUAAACUGACAUUAAGCUAUUCCCCCGUUGCACGCACACGAUUGUUCGGUAUCGCUAAGGAGGCGGUUUGGCCCUGAGAUCUGCUGAUCACACGCAGCGGGUCUGGAAGGUGAAUCUCUGCCUGAUUUCAGCCUAACAGUGAGCAACGCAGACACGCAUGAGACACGUCUCGAGGGGCUUUUAAGUCUCUCAGACAGACGCCAGAUUUGGGGUCAGGAAGGAAAUUCCCCCCCUCCAGCAGGGUCACGGCCUUGGUCUGGGGUCUCUGAAGUGCCUACCAAUAGCUGUACACAGCAGGAGCAGGGCGUUGGUUGCAGCAGCCCUGUUUCCCCAGGUCCAGGGGUGACGUCUGGUGCUCUGCCGCGUUGCUCCGUUUGUACACACUGGUUUGCACAGGGCUGAACCUGCUUCCGGCAGGGCUUGGGCUAGAUCGUAGCUCUGGGGGGUCCCUUCCAGCCCCACUUCUCUGUGACUAACUUUAUGACCCCUGAAGGGUCUCUUCCACUCCAAUUUCUAUGCACACUGUGACAGUCCUUCUCCCUGUCUCGCUACCCAAGGAACUGUCCACUGUUUUUUCUCCCCAGUUUUUCUUUUUAAGCUAGUCUUAACUUUAUAAAUGAGAUGGGAUUCUUCUGGCCACCAUGUACACCUCUUCCUGGGGGUCAAACUGAACGUACUGACGUUGGUGCUUCUUCUACUGACUUGAAACAAAUAGAAAAAAACGAAGUGGCAUAUAUUUUUUCCAUAUACACUUUCUGGGAACAAUGAGGCAUUUUGUAGCACUGUUUAUAUAUGCUUUUACGGUUCAUAGCAACACUUGUGUAAUAUUUUGUUUACAGAGUAAAAAACAUCCUAUAAUUUUAUGGACCAUGCUAAAAUAAUCUUGCAGUACUGUAAAGAGAGCUUGUCCUGUGACAUGUAGCACCUCCUGAAUGGGAGGUAGGUGGAGGCUGCUCAGGUGCUACUUUUUUCUCAAUUAAAAAACAAGCUCAUAAAAACAA